ACACAUUCAGGCCCUAAAAUAAACAGAUCCAUCAAAUAAAAACACAUAUUUUGUUAAGCAUGUAUAUAUUUAUUUAUUUGUUUGUUGAAAUAUUUAAAGUUUUGUAAUAUUUCCCCAGAAAAAUGUAAACUUCUCCAUAUUCACAAAAAGAAAGACAUUUCUGUUUAUCAAUCAUUGUCAAUAAAAUGAAAUUCAUAAUUACAAUAAUAAUCAUAUUUGAAUAUAAUAAUAUCUUUAUAAUAAUAAUCAUAAUAUGAACAUUCAAAACAUCACUCCAUAUUUAGAGAUGCUGCACUCUAGAAUCAACAAAUCUCUCCCGCAUUCGAGAAUAUUUCCAUGAGUAAAUAUAUAAAUAUAUACAUCCUACGCUCCUGAAUCAGGUCAGGGGUCAGGGGUCAGAGGUCAAUGCUAUGGCUUGUCCGUGUCUAUGGCUAAAUUAGCGGGUGGUUCCCGUUCGUCAUGAACUCAUAGCAGUAAGAACUAGUGCUACACGAUGGGAAAAGAUACACGAUCACGAUCUGUCGUAGCAUAACUGACCCCUGUACACACACCAUGGCUGUGUACACACACGCGUGCUCGUGUUCAGCCAAUCAGAGCGUCUCACUGGCGACACGUGCUCGUGUUCAGCCAAUCAGAGCGUCUCAAUGGCGACACGUGGUCGUCCAAUCAGAGCGUCUCAAUGGCGACACGUGCACGUGUUCAGCCAAUCAGAGCGUCUCACUGGCGACAAGUGCUCGUGUUCAGCCAAUCAGAGCGUCUCACUGGCGACACGUGCUCGUGUUCAGCCAAUCAGAGCGUCUCAAUGGCGACACGUGGUCGUGUUCAGCCAAUCAGAGCGUCUCAAUGGCGACACGUGCUCGUGUUCAGCCAAUCAGAGCGUCUCAAUGGCGACACGUGCACGUGUUCAGCCAAUCAGAGCGUCUCACUGGCGACAAGUGCUCGUGUUCAGCCAAUCAGAGCGUCUCACUGGCGACAAGUGCUCGUCCAAUCAGAGUGUCUCAAUGGCGACACGUGCUCGUGUUCAGCCAAUCAGAGCGUCUCAAUGGCGACACGUGCUCGUGUUCAGCCAACCAGAGCUCAGUAUGGGAACUGUAGGCACAGAAACACUGUUCAUUAUCAUCAUUUUUUCAUAACUAUUAUUACCUGAAAUGCAGACCAAAGUAAUACUUCCAACAGAAAAGGUAAAUAAAGACGAAAGUAAGUGACUAAAGCCCCAGCAGCGACUGGCGUAUAUGAGUAUCAUCCACCAAACACCAAGAAAAGAGAAAAACUCAACCCACUUAAAAUGAGAGAAACUUUCAAUCUGGACUCUAUGUACAGAAAUCAGCAGCCCGUCAGAGUGUGUGUGAGAGUGUGUGUGUGUGUGU